CAGCGUCAAGAGGAAAGUCCGGGCAACGCAGAGCAUCAUACUUCCUAACGGAAAGCUGCCGGCGACGGCAGGGGUAAUGUAACAGAGAAUAACCGCCGCGGCCACGGCUGCGGUAAGGGUGAAAAGGCGGGGUAAGAGCCCACCGGCCGGAAUGGCGACAUCCCGGGCCGUACAUCCUAUGAGUUGCAAGGCCAAGUAUACCGGCAGAUAAGGAUUGCUCGUCCUUUGCCGGGGGGUAGGCUGCUUCAGCCCGCUGGCAACAGCGCGGCGUAGAUAAAUGACAGAACCGGCGUCCCUAAGCGGAUGCCGCGACAUAACCCGGCUUACAGCGCUUCU
rnacentral:RNase_P_RNA from 1 species